GACGAACGCUGGCGGCGUGCUUAACACAUGCAAGUCGAACGGAAAGGCCCUGCUUGCAGGGUACUCGAGUGGCGAACGGGUGAGUAACACGUGGGUGAUCUGCCCUGCACUUCGGGAUAAGCCUGGGAAACUGGGUCUAAUACCGGAUAGGAGCCAUUUUUAGUGUGAUGGUUGGAAAGUUUUUUCGGUGUAGGAUGAGCUCGCGGCCUAUCAGCUUGUUGGUGGGGUAAUGGCCUACCAAGGCGGCGACGGGUAGCCGGCCUGAGAGGGUGGACGGCCACAUUGGGACUGAGAUACGGCCCAGACGCCGACGGGAGGCAGCAGUGGGGAAUAUUGAACAAUGGGCGCAAGCCGGAUGCAGCGACGCCGCGUGGGGGAGGACGGCCUUCGGGUUGUAAAUCCCUUUCGCUAGGGACGAAGCUUUUUGUGACGGUACCUAGAUAAGAAGCACCGGCUAACUACGUG
rnacentral:rRNA from 1 species